GCCUUCGUGGUGUAAUGGUAGCACAUUCGGCGCGUAUUUGAGAGGUCUAGGUUCGAAUCCGGACGAAAGCA
rfam:Stegodyphus mimosarum contig80957, whole genome shotgun sequence.